CCCUGAGCCCCUCCCCGGCCCUCAGCCCCUCCCAGGAGGCAGCUUUGGGGGGCGUUUUAGGGGUUGAGGCUCCCCAGAGCAGUUUGGGGAGGUUUGUAGGGGGUCCCAGACGUUGGUUGGGGCAGCUGAGCCUCCUCAGUGUCUUUUAGGCUGCUUUUUUAGGGGCUGAGUCUCCCCAGAGCACUUUGGGGUGUGUUUUCAGGGGCUGAGGCUCCUCAGUGUCUUUAGGGGGUUUUUUAGGGGCUGAAUCUCCCCAGAGCAGUUUGGGGGGUGUUUUUAGGGGCUGAGUCUCCUCAGUGCAGUCUGGGGAGGCUUUUAGGGCUCCCAGAUGUUGUCUGGGGGGUUUUCAGGGGCUGAGGUUCCUCACUGUCUUCCAGGGUGUUUUUUAGGGGCCAAAUCUCCCUGGAGCAGCUUGGGGAGGUUUUCAGGGGCUCCCUGAUGCAGUUUGGGGUUUGUUUAGGGGCCGAAUCUCCCCAGAGCAGUUUGGGGGGUGUUUUUAGGGGCUGAGUCUCCCCAGAGCAUUUUGGGGUGUGUUUUCAGGGGCUGAGGCUCCUCAAUGUCUCCCAGGAUGCUUUUUAGGGUCUGAGUCUCCCCAGAGCAGUUUGUGGAGGCUUUCAGGGGCUGAGGGUCCUCAAUGCAGUUUGGGGAGGUUUGUAGGGGCUCCCUGCUGCAGUCUGGGGAGGUUUGUAGGGUCUGAGUCUCCCCAGAGCAGUGUGGGGAUGUUUUCAGGGGCUCCCUCGUGCACUUUGGGGAGGUCCUCAGGGGCUCCCUCGUGCACUUUGGGGAGGUCCUCAGGGGCUCCCCAGAGCAGUUUGGGGAGGUUUGUAGGGUCUCAGUCUCCCUGGAGCAGUUUGGGGAGGUUCUCAGGGGCUCCCCAGUACAAUUUGGGGAGGUUCUCAGAGGUUCCCCAGUACAAUUUGGGGAGGUUCUCAGGGGCUCCCCAGUACAAUUUGGGGAGGUUCUCAGGGGCCCUCUGCUGCACUGUGGGGAUGUCCUCAGGGUCUCCCCGCUGCAGUCUGGGGAUGUCCUCAUGGGCCGAGGCCCCUCCCCGUGUCCCCGGGUGCUCCCCAGGGUCCCUCUCCCCGGAGCAGUGUCCCUGUCCCCCGGAGCAGUGUCCCUCUCCCCGGAGCAGUGUCCCUCUCCCCCGGAGCAGUGUCCCUGUCUCCCGGAGCAGU
rnacentral:lncRNA from 1 species